GUGGGUUACUUGCCAUUAAUUUGUAUACCCCUUCCAAAUUUAUUUCUCCUGGUUUAAUGCCUCAAAUUGCAAGUAGGGGGGAUGAAAUUACACUGUAAAAAAAUUUGGGUCCAGAAUUUUAAAGAAAAGUAGUGAUUUGGUCCAGCUGAAAAAGGUUGAAAAUUAGCACUUCGGAAGCUGUCAAAAGAUUUCAAGACGCCCUAAACAUAAAAUUGUCCAUAUUUUGAGUUAGAGCCGAUGAAGUUUUCUAUAAUUUUGAUAUAAUUUGUCCCAAAAGUAGUACAACACACUGUAAAAGUUUCUUUGAGAAAGCGCAGGUGGGAUUUUUUUAAUUUUCAUUUAUGUUCUAAAAGAAAUGCACUACGAAAUAAUUGUGUUCUCGGAC
rnacentral:lncRNA from 1 species